UGUGGUCCCCUCCUGGAGCACUGCUGGGUGUAAGCUGAGCCCUGGAGCUGUCUGUAGGAGGCUGUGGUGGAGAGAGGUGCAGGGAUCCCAGGGGCAUCUGAUUUCCUGCUGCACCUUCUGCUCACACCCCCAAGAACUUCUGCCUUUCAGACCCCCCAGGAACCACAUGCAGGAAUUUGUGGAAAGGAGGUGGAAGUAUCCUGCCCUUCAGGAAUGAUGGGAGCCAUCUCUGUGAGGUAAUGCUGAAUUGUCAGGUGUCCAGAAGAUAUGAAAGUGAUGCUGCACAUCCUGGAGCUGGCCUGGUGGAGCUGAAAGCAGAUGGAUGGAUGGACCCAGCCCUCUGAUUCGUGGCAGUGAGGCUGUGCAUUGUACGUGGAACCACUCACGUGAUUCCUGUCGAGCCAAAAUAUUCUUUCAGAAAGAGCAUUGACCAGAUGCCUUAUUAUUGCUGCUCACAAUGCUGUCCUCAGAGUACAACAAUCCAUCACGGAGCUCGGCGCAGCCCUACAGAAAAGUCCCUGACACAUUUUUACAGAAGGGCCAGGUGUAUUGAGAGCGUGGUGACCGAGAGAUGUACAGAAAGCCAAGCUGGGAGUGGAAGCACAGCCACAAAUGUGUGUGCACAGAGACCUGUCUGUAAUUCGUAGCUCACCAGGGUCUGCAGGUCAGAGGCUGAAAAGUGCUGCAUCAAAGGGGCUGAGUGUUGGAGAUGUGGCUGAGAUGGAAAUGAAGGUCUAAAGUCCCAAACUGGAAACCACCCAGGCCUCCUUGCUCAACUCCCUCCUGAUGCUCUGUGUCUCCUGCUGCCCUGAGACUGAGCGUGGCUGGGUGUUCCACUUCUGAACUUCCGUGCUGAUGCCCCAGGAUGUGGAGGAACAGCUGCCAUUUGGGUGCAUCACGUUUUGCCCGUCUGAGCAAUGGGUUGGAAGAAGAACGUGCUUUGGAUUGGAUGGAUGGAGUGUCUCACUAGUGAUUCCUUAGAUAAACCUUGAACAGGGGUCACGCUCCCAAACUGGAGGAAGAGACAGCUCAGCACUAAGCUCUUUGUACAGCAACUUUCCUAAAGGAGAUGGGAGCCAUGGCCAUAUCCCUGUGCAUCGCUGCGGUGUGGGUGUGCAGAUGAACUGCUGUAUGCUUGGGUUUUAUAAACAGGAAUUCCCAAGCUGUGUAUCUUCCUACCAAGGGAGGAGAUGUUUAGCUUUUCACCUUUCUCCUGGAUGCAGUUGGAUUUUGGGAGCUGAAAUAGCUAUGUCACAUCUCCUGUGUCAAAGGGGCAGCAAAAGGGAUGGAGCAGCACAAGGCCAAGUGUCAUGGCAGGAGAAGUGGAAGAGAAAGAACUCUGACCAGCAGAGGAGCAAGAAGCUGGGUGAGAAGCUGGCACCACCUUGGUGGAUCUAUGGCUGUAUAGCCUGUAAAAGCCUGGCUCUGCUCUUUUGGGAAAGAAAAUGUAAGGUCUGGCCCAGGGAUGUCAAGGCAGAUGCCAAAUUGAGAUGUCACUGAAGGCAUUUUUCACUGAGCAAUCUCCCUUCCCACUGCGAGUAGAAGACAAAGCUGUUUCUGCAGUUUGUACAUCACUCCUGUACCACCACCCAUAACGUCCCUGAUAAAUGAAACUCUGUGCUGGUUGCCUAUGGUCCUGCCAGGAGCUGACCAGGGAGGACUUCUGCAGCCAGCUGGAAGCCCAUCGCAGACCAUGCUUCCUCAGUAAUCUGUCAUCAGCAGAGCACACUAUCAGGACAAAAAGUCAAGCUUCUUUUUUUUCCACUGACUUCUGGUGAAGAGUCAGAGAUGUGGAAGUGACCUUUUUGAACUGGACCUUCUGUGUUUCAGGCUCAAUGCCUGCAGUGGAAUUGCCAGCUCAUGCCUGAACCAAUGAUUGAGCACCAGGUGAGGAGGCAUGGCUAAUCCAGGGAGCUCAGCUGCAAGCAAUACACCUGAGUGUCAAAAAUCACCCUCAUUUAAGGGUUAGCAGUGGAGAGAGCAGAGUUUCUCUGGAUAGGGAUCGUGCUUCUCUUGAGCUGCUACUGGUCAUCAGAAAGGAAGGUGAAGCAGUUCUUGAAUAAAAUGAGUAGAGGAGCACAGCCUGCCCUGCACCAGCAACACCAGGGGAUGCAGCAGAGGUUGUCGAAAUGCUUGGGCACCAUUGGAUGUGCUUAGUAAUGUGCAGGACUGGAAAUCGCUCCAAGCAGACUUCGUGUUGCUUAAAGCUAUUAACUCAUCUUCAGAGAACUUUGUACGUGUCACACCUGAGUGAUUGCAUCGCUGGCACUUAGCCACUCUGUUCCUGGGGCCCCACUCUGAAGCAAAGCAGAGAUGGGCUGCCUUGGCUUUGCUGGGGAGGUGCUCUGUAUCCCGUUGGGAAACACAGCACCAAAACCACAGCAAGAAUAAUGGAAUCACAGAAUCAUUCUGGUUGGAGAAGACCUCACAGAUCCCCAAGUCCAACCCCACCCCAGCCCACCAUGCCCACUGCUUACAUCCCUCAGUGCCACAUCUCCACAGAUCUGGAACACCUCCAGGGAUGGUGACUCUACCACCCUUAUGGGCAGCUGUUUGACCAGUGCUUGACCAAACCUUUUGGGCCCUAUGUGACCCUCAGCCCUGUACUCAGAGAGAGCAGGGUGAUGACAGCAUUGUGAUUAGGCAGAGGGGAUGUUGUACCUGCUGUAUGGGCUGUGCAGAGGGGCCCCGUGUAGAUAAUGGAGACUUUGUUUUUCGUUUGUAGGGCAUUGCUCACCUUCUCUGUGCUUCUUUGAGAGUAAAAUGGGUAUAAUUAACCCUUUCCAAUGUGGAGAUGCAUUAUGUGCAUCUUUUCUAUAAAGCAGAGAAGUUUUAUAGGCAGUCAGCGAGCUGAUGGGACAAAGCAAACAAAUGGCAGCAUCAGAUUUCAGAUAAAUUCAAGAGAUUUCAGCCAGACUGGAUACUGGGGUUUGCUCUAUUUGCUCCACUCCCAAUUUUCUUCCCUUUCAUUGAAUGGAAAAACUGAAUUUUCCACUAAGCCAUUAAGAAAGCAGAGGUUUCACAACAGUCAGGCUGAUUUGACCACGCUCAUUC